rnacentral:rRNA from 1 species
GACGAACGCUGGCGGUGUGCUUAACACAUGCAAGUCGAACGGUAAGGCCCUUCGGGGUACACGAGUGGCGAACGGGUGAGUAACACGUGGGUGAUCUGCCCUGCACUUCGGGAUAAGCCUGGGAAACUGGGUCUAAUACCGGAUAGGACCACUGCCUGCAUGGGUGGUGGUGGAAAGCUUUUGCGGUGUGGGAUGGGCCCGCGGCCUAUCAGCUUGUUGGUGGGGUGAUGGCCUACCAAGGCGACGACGGGUAGCCGGCCUGAGAGGGUGACCGGCCACACUGGGACUGAGAUACGGCCCAGACUCCUACGGGAGGCAGCAGUGGGGAAUAUUGCACAAUGGGCGUAAGCCUGAUGCAGCGACGCCGCGUGAGGGAUGACGGCCUUCGGGUUGUAAACCUCUUUCAGCACCGACGAAGCGCAAGUGACGGUAGGUGCAGAAGAAGGACCGGCCAACUACGUGCCAGCCGCCGCAGUAA